rnacentral:rRNA from 1 species
CAGCCGCCGCGGUAAUACGGAGGGGGCUAGCGUUGUUCGGAAUUACUGGGCGUAAAGCGCACGUAGGCGGCUUGGUAAGUUAGAGGUGAAAGCCCGGAGCUCAACUCCGGAAUUGCCUUUAAGACUGCCGAGCUAGUAGGUGAGAGAGGUAAGUGGAAUUCCGAGUGUAGAGGUGAAAUUCGUAGGUAUUCGGAAGAACACCAGUGGCGAAGGCGGCUCACUGGACGCGUAUUGACGCUGAGGUGCGAAAGCGUGGGGAGCAAACAGGAUUAGAUACCCCAGUAGUCCCUGUCUCUUAUAA